rnacentral:lncRNA from 1 species
CCAGUGUACAGCAGUGUGCAUACAGAAACUGCUCCAAAAGUAAUAGUUUAUGGAAAAACCAACUGACGCUGCAAAAAGUUCUUUCUUUUGUUCUAGGUAGAAGAAAAUCCAGCGGUCUCCAGUGAUCUUUAGACAUCUUCCCACAUAUGGCAGAUUUUCUGGGAAGGCACUUAGUAAAAAGUGGCAACAGGCUCAAGGAUGCAAGGAGAACUUUCUUCAUAGCCUUAUCCAGGAGGUCAAACCACAAGAGGACAUCUCCUGAAAUUAUCAAGAUGCUGAUGGUGGCUGAUUGGAUGUUUGGUUUCUCAUUGUGAGCUGGCUCAUCUUGCCCUCCAGACUUGCCUGAAAACUCCUUAUUGGAUGUUGAGCCCUGAACGAAUUCCUGUCUGCUGCCACGUGCUGAGUCACGGUUCGUGUGACUCCUCACUGACUCCUGGCUGCCUUCUAGGCAGAUGGGCCUGCCGGGACUGAGAGGAAGCAGCGGCCAGCCAGACACCCACACCUCCAGGCAGAGUCACUUCUGAGAUGCCGUCUUCCGUCCUCGGGGUGAAAACGAGUCAUCGGCCAGCUGGGUGGGGAGAGAGGAGUGGGGUGGGGGUCGGCUGACAUCAUGCCUGAUCUUUCCUGCCGGGUUUGAGGGAAGGUCAUGCUUAAGCUUGACUUUUGAGGGAAAAGGAGGUGACGUCAUCGAUGAGCUUUCUCUGCUUGAGUGUCAGGGGAUGGAGUCACUUCCAGGUUUGUCUUCUUUAGAAGAGUGAGAUCAUGCAGCUUUUCCCCUAUUUCGGGUCGAGGAGUGAGGGGAAGAGGGUAUACUGGACUGGGAUGUGCCUUAUUUAAGAGGCCGGGGCGGUUCUGAAGCCCUCUCUGCCUUCCUACAGAAAAGCAGGCUUCUCUUUGGGAAGGUGCCUGAGGGACCAGCCCUCCCGGGGCAGCACAGGGCGUGGCGAGUCUGCUCUUCUGCUUGGCACUAUGAUUUUCAUGGACUCCUUCCUCCAUUAAAAAAAAUUAAGAAUGUUAUUUUAUGAUUGUGUUAGUACAAAAAUAAGUAUAAUGCAGGCUGGAAUCAUUACAUAUGCAUUAUUAUAUUCCUUUUCUUCUGAUUUUAAGAGAAAAUGAAAGCAUUUUCUGUGGGUCUCUAAAAAGUUUCAUGGACCUUAGACCCUCUCUGUCUGAUGGAUAAAUUGGCCGUGAGGUCGGGGGUCUUCUCAUUUUCAGACAGGAAUCUGGGCCUGGAGCAAGAACAGACAGGACACCAGCAGCUCCCUGCCCUCACUUUGCCUGACUGAGAUGCUCUGCUGGAAUUGGGCUACAGGA